CUAAUAAGAAAAGUUGCUAUAAAUGUCAAACUCUACAACUUUUAGUUUGACAAAAUCUUAAGUUUCUAUACAAAAUUUCAUGUUUCGAAUUUAACGCAAAAUUGAGCUUUUAUGGGCAAAUUUGACUUUUCACUUGUUGGAUUAGUGUCUAAGCCUCCUAAUCAAGCGUAACCAAGUAUAAAUUGCUAGAGCACUUAGAGUGUUUGAAGUGAUUUUGAAUUGCUGCUGAUUUGAUUCUAGCUUUUGAACCUCUUCCUCUCCAACCAUUCAAAGUGCUAAUAACAAAAGUUGCUAGAAAUGUAAAACUCUACAACAUUUCGUUUGACAAAAACUUCAGUUUCUAUACAAAAUUCCAUGUUUCGAAUUUAACCCAAAAUUGAGCUUUCAAGGGAAAAUUUGACUUUUCACUUGCUGGAUUAGUGUCUAAGCCUCCUAAUCAAGCGUAACCAAGUAUAAUUUGCUAGAGCACUUAGAGUGUUUGAAGUGAUUUUGAAUUGCUACUGAUUUUGAUUCUAGCUUUUAAAACCUUUUCUUCGCGAAACCGUUUAAAGUGCUAAUAAGAAAAGUUGCUAUAAAUGUCAAACUCUACAACUUUUAGUUGACAAAAUCUUAAGUUUCUAUACAAAAUUUCAUGUUUCGAAUUUAACGCAAAAUUGAGCUUUUAAGGGCAAAUUUGACUUUUCACUUGUUGGAUUGGUGUCUAAGCCUCCUAAUCAAGCGUAACCAAGUAUAAUUUGCUAGAGCACUUAGAGUUUUUGAAGUGAUUUUGAAUUGCUAGUGAUUUUGAUUCUAGCUUUUGAACCUCUUCCUGUCCAAACCAUUCAAAGUGCUAAUAAGAAAAGUUGCUAGAAAUGUAAAACUCUAAAACUUUUCGUUUGACAAAAUCUUAAGUUUCUAUACAAAAUUUCAUGUUUCGAACUUAACCCAAAAUUGAGCUUUUAAGGGCAAAUUUGACUUUUCACUUGCUGGAUUAGUGUCUAAGCCUCCUAAUCAAGCGUAACCAAGUAUAAUUUGCUACAGCACUUGGAGUUUUUGAAGCGAUUUUGAAUUGCUACUGAUUUUCAUUCUAGCUUUUGAACCUCUUCCUCUCCAAACCAUUCAAAGUGCUAAUAGGAAUAGUUGCUGGAUUAGUGUCUAAGCCUCCUAAUCAAGCGUAACCAAGUAUAAUUUGCUAGAGCACUUAGAGUGUUUGAAGUAAUUUUGAAUUGCUACUGAUUUUGAUUCUAGAUUUUGAACCUCUUCCUCUCCAAACCAUCCAAAGUCCUAAUUAGAAAAGUUGCUAGAAAUGUAAAACUCUACAACUUUUCGUUUGACAAAAACUUAAGUUUCUGUACAAAAUUUCAAGUUUCGAAUUUAACCCAAAAUUGAGUUUUCAAGGGCAAAUUUGACUUUUCACUUGCUGGUUUAGUGUCUCAGCCUCCUAAUCAAGUGUAACCAAGUAUAAUUUGCUCGAGCACUUAGAGUUUUUGAAGUGAUUUUGAAUUGCUACUGAUUUUGAUUCUAGCUUUUCGACCUCUUCCUCUCCAAACCAUUCAAAGUGCUAAUAACAAAAGUUUCUAGAAAUGUCAAACUCUACAACUUUUAGUUUGACAAAAUCUUAUGUUUCUAUAGAAAAUUUCAUGUUUCGAAUUUAACACAAAAUUUAGUUGUUCAGGGCAAAUUUGACUUUUCACUUGCUGGAUUAGCGUCUAAGCCUCCUAAUCAAGCGUAACCAAGUAUAAAUUGCUAGAGCACUUAGAGUGUUUGAAGUGAUUUUGAAUUGCUACUGAUUUUCACUCUAGCUUUUGAACCUCUUACUCUCCAAACCAUUCAAAGUGCUAAUAGGAAUAAUUGCUAGAAAUGUAAAAAUCUACAACUUUUAGUUUGAUAGAAUCUUAAGUUUCUAUACGAAAUUUCAAGUUUCGAAUUUAACCCAAAAUGCAUCUUUCAAGGGCAAAUUUGACUUUUGACUUGCUGGAUUAGUGUCUAAGCCUCCUAAUCAAGCGUAACCAAGUAUAAUUUGCUAGAGCACUUAGAGUUUUUGAAGUGAUUUUGAAUUGCUACUGAUUUUGAUUCUAGCUUUUGGACCUCUUUUUCUCCAAACCAUUCAAAGUGCUACGACAAAAAGUUGCUAGAAAUGUAAAACUCUACAACCUUUCGUUUGACAGAAUCUUAAGUUUCUGUACGAAAUUUCAGGUUUCGAAUUUAACCCAAAAUUGAGUUGUUAAGGGCAAAUUUGACUUUUCACUUGUUGGAUUGGUGUCUAAGCCUCCUAAUCAAGCCUAACCAAGUAUAAUUUGCUAGAGCACUUAGAGUUUUUGAAGAGAUUUUGAAUUGCUACUGAUUUUCAUUCUACCUUUUGAACGUCUUAUUCUCCAAACCAUUCAAAGUGCUAAUAGGAAUAGUUGCUAGAAAUGUAAAAAUCAACAACUUUCAGUUUGACAGAAUCUUAAGUUUCUAUACGAAAUUUCAAGUUUGGAAUUUAACCCAAAAUUAAGCUUUCAAGGGCAAAUUUGACUUUUCACUUGCUGGAUUAGUGUCUAAGCCUCCUAAUCAAGCGUAACCAAGUAUAAUUUGCUAGAGCACUUAGAGUGUUUGAAGUGAUUUUGAAUUGCUACUGAUUUUGAUUCUAGCUUUUAAAACCUUUUCUUCUCGAAACCGUUUAAAGUGCUAAUAAGAAAAGUUGCUAUAAAUGUCAAACUCUACAACUUUUAGUUGACAAAAUCUUAAGUUUCUAUACAAAAUUUCAUGUUUCGAAUUUAACGCAAAAUUGAGCUUUUAAGGGCAAAUUUGACUUUUCACUUGUUGGAUUGGUGUCUAAGCCUCCUAAUCAAGCGUAACCAAGUAUAAUUUGCUAGAGCACUUAGAGUUUUUGAAGUGAUUUUGAAUUUCUAGUGAUUUUGAUUCUAGCUUUUGAACCUCUUCCUGUCCAAACCAUUCAAAGUGCUAAUAAGAAAAGUUGCUAGAAAUGUAAAACUCUAAAACUUUUCGUUUGACAAAAUCUUAAGUUUCUAUACAAAAUUUCAUGUUUCGAAUUUAACCCAAAAUUGAGCUUUUAAGGGCAAAUUUGACUUUUCACUUGCUGGAUUAGUGUCUAAGCCUCCUAAUCAAGCGUAACCAAGUAUAAUUUGCUACAGCACUUGGAGUUUUUGAAGCGAUUUUGAAUUGCUACUGAUUUUCAUUCUAGCUUUUGAACCUCUUCCUCUCCAAACCAUUCAAAGUGCUAAUAGGAAUAGUUGCUGGAUUAGUGUCUAAGCCUCCUAAUCAAGCGUAACAAAGUAUAAUUUGCUAGAGCACUUAGAGUGUUUGAAGUGAUUUUGAAUUGCUACUAAUUUUCACUCUAGCUUUUGAACCUCUUACUCUCCAAACCAUUCAAAGUGCUAAUAGGAAUAAUUGCUAGAAAUGUAAAAAUCUACAACUUUUAGUUUGAUAGAAUCUUAAGUUUCUAUACGAAAUUUCAAGUUUCGAAUUUAACCCAAAAUGCAUCUUUCAAGGGCAAAUUUGACUUUUGACUUGCUGGAUUAGUGUCUAAGCCUCCUAAUCAAGCGUAACCAUGUAUAAUUUGCUAGAGCACUUAGAGUUUUUGAAGUGAUUUUGAAUUGCUACUGAUUUUGAUUCUAGCUUUUGGACCUCUUUUUCUCCAAACCAUUCAAAGUGCUACGACAAAAAGUUGCUAGAAAUGUAAAACUCUACAACCUUUCGUUUGACAGAAUCUUAAGUUUCUGUACGAAAUUUCAGGUUUCGAAUUUAACCCAAAAUUGAGUUGUUAAGGGCAAAUUUGACUUUUCACUUGUUGGAUUGGUGUCUAAGCCUCCUAAUCAAGCCUAACCAAGUAUAAUUUGCUAGAGCACUUAGAGUUUUUGAAGAGAUUUUGAAUUGCUACUGAUUUUCAUUCUACCUUUUGAACGUCUUAUUCUCCAAACCAUUCAAAGUGCUAAUAGGAAUAGUUGCUAGAAAUGUAAAAAUCAACAACUUUCAGUUUGACAGAAUCUUAAGUUUCUAUACGAAAUUUCAAGUUUGGAAUUUAACCCAAAAUUAAGCUUUCAAGGGCAAAUUUGACUUUUCACUUGCUGGAUUAGUGUCUAAGCCUCCUAAUCAAGCGUAACCAAGUAUAAUUUGCUAGAGCACUUAGAGUGUUUGAAGUGAUUUUGAAUUGCUACUGAUUUUGAUUCUAGCUUUUAAAACCUUUUCUUCUCGAAACCGUUUAAAGUGCUAAUAAGAAAAGUUGCUAUAAAUGUCAAACUCUACAACUUUUAGUUGACAAAAUCUUAAGUUUCUAUACAAAAUUUCAUGUUUCGAAUUUAACGCAAAAUUGAGCUUUUAAGGGCAAAUUUGACUUUUCACUUGUUGGAUUGGUGUCUAAGCCUCCUAAUCAAGCGUAACCAAGUAUAAUUUGCUAGAGCACUUAGAGUUUUUGAAGUGAUUUUGAAUUGCUAGUGAUUUUGAUUCUAGCUUUUGAACCUCUUCCUGUCCAAACCAUUCAAAGUGCUAAUAAGAAAAGUUGCUAGAAAUGUAAAACUCUAAAACUUUUCGUUUGACAAAAUCUUAAGUUUCUAUACAAAAUUUCAUGUUUCGAAUUUAACCCAAAAUUGAGCUUUUAAGGGCAAAUUUGACUUUUCACUUGCUGGAUUAGUGUCUAAGCCUCCUAAUCAAGCGUAACCAAGUAUAAUUUGCUACAGCACUUGGAGUUUUUGAAGCGAUUUUGAAUUGCUACUGAUUUUCAUUCUAGCUUUUGAACCUCUUCCUCUCCAAACCAUUCAAAGUGCUAAUAGGAAUAGUUGCUGGAUUAGUGUCUAAGCCUCCUAAUCAAGCGUAACCAAGUAUAAUUUGCUAGAGCACUUAGAGUGUUUGAAGUGAUUUUGAAUUGCUACUGAUUUUGAUUCUAGAUUUUGAACCUCUUCCUCUCCAAACCAUCCAAAGUCCUAAUUAGAAAAGUUGCUAGAAAUGUAAAACUCUACAACUUUUCGUUUGACAAAAACUUAAGUUUCUGUACAAAAUUUCAAGUUUCGAAUUUAACCCAAAAUUGAGUUUUCAAGGGCAAAUUUGACUUUUCACUUGCUGGUUUAGUGUCUCAGCCUCCUAAUCAAGUGUAACCAAGUAUAAUUUGCUCGAGCACUUAGAGUUUUUGAAGUGAUUUUGAAUUGCUACUGAUUUUGAUUCUAGCUUUUCGACCUCUUCCUCUCCAAACCAUUCAAAGUGCUAAUAACAAAAGUUUCUAGAAAUGUCAAACUCUACAACUUUUAGUUUGACAAAAUCUUAUGUUUCUAUAGAAAAUUUCAUGUUUCGAAUUUAACACAAAAUUUAGUUGUUCAGGGCAAAUUUGACUUUUCACUUGCUGGAUUAGCGUCUAAGCCUCCUAAUCAAGCGUAACCAAGUAUAAAUUGCUAGAGCACUUAGAGUGUUUGAAGUGAUUUUGAAUUGCUACUGAUUUUCACUCUAGCUUUUGAACCUCUUACUCUCCAAACCAUUCAAAGUGCUAAUAGGAUUAAUUGCUAGAAAUGUAAAAAUCUACAACUUUUAGUUUGAUAGAAUCUUAAGUUUCUAUACGAAAUUUCAAGUUUCGAAUUUAACCCAAAAUGCAUCUUUCAAGGGCAAAUUUGACUUUUGACUUGCUGGAUUAGUGUCUAAGCCUCCUAAUCAAGCGUAACCAAGUAUAAUUUGCUAGAGCACUUAGAGUUUUUGAAGUGAUUUUGAAUUGCUACUGAUUUUGAUUCUAGCUUUUGGACCUCUUUUUCUCCAAACCAUUCAAAGUGCUACGACAAAAAGUUGCUAGAAAUGUAAAACUCUACAACCUUUCGUUUGACAGAAUCUUAAGUUUCUGUACGAAAUUUCAGGUUUCGAAUUUAACCCAAAAUUGAGUUGUUAAGGGCAAAUUUGACUUUUCACUUGUUGGAUUGGUGUCUAAGCCACCUAAUCAAGCCUAACCAAGUAUAAUUUGCUAGAGCACUUAGAGUUUUUGAAGAGAUUUUGAAUUGCUACUGAUUUUCAUUCUACCUUUUGAACGUCUUAUUCUCCAAACCAUUCAAAGUGCUAAUAGGAAUAGUUGCUAGAAAUGUAAAAAUCAACAACUUUCAGUUUGACAGAAUCUUAAGUUUCUAUACGAAAUUUCAAGUUUGGAAUUUAACCCAAAAUUAAGCUUUCAAGGGCAAAUUUGACUUUUCACUUGCUGGAUUAGUGUCUAAGCCUCCUAAUCAAGCGUAACCAAGUAUAAUUUGCUAGAGCACUUAGAGUGUUUGAAGUGAUUUUGAAUUGCUACUGAUUUUGAUUCUAGCUUUUAAAACCUUUUCUUCUCGAAACCGUUUAAAGUGCUAAUAAGAAAAGUUGCUAUAAAUGUCAAACUCUACAACUUUUAGUUGACAAAAUCUUAAGUUUCUAUACAAAAUUUCGUAUUUCGAAUUUAACGCAAAAUUGAGCUUUUAAGGGCAAAUUUGACUUUUCACUUGUUGGAUUGGUGUCUAAGCCUCCUAAUCAAGCGUAACCAAGUAUAAUUUGCUAGAGCACUUAGAGUUUUUGAAGCGAUUUUGAAUUGCUACUGAUUUUCAUUCUAGCUUUUGAACCUCUUCCUCUCCAAACCAUUCAAAGUGCUAAUAGGAAUAGUUACUGGAUUAGUGUCUAAGCCUCCUAAUCAAGCGUAACCAAGUAUAAUUUGCUAGAGCACUUAGAGUGUUUGAAGUGAUUUUGAAUUGCUACUGAUUUUGAUUCUAGAUUUUGAACCUCUUCCUCUCCAAACCAUCCAAAGUCCUAAUUAGAAAAGUUGCUAGAAAUGUAAAACUCUACAACUUUUCGUUUGACAAAAACUUAAGUUUCUGUACAAAAUUUCAAGUUUCGAAUUUAACCCAAAAUUGAGCUUUCAAGGGCAAAUUUGACUUUUCACUUGCUGGUUUAGUGUCUAAGCCUCCUCAUCAAGCCUAACCAAGUAUAAUUUGCUAGAGCACUUAGAAUUUUUGAAGUGAUUUUGAAUUGCUACUAAUUUUCAUUCUAGCUUUUGAACCUCUUACUCUCCAAACCAUUCAAAGUCCUAAUUGGAAUAGUUGCUAGAAAUGUAAAAAUCUACAACUUUCGGUUUGACAGAAUCUUAAGUUUCUGUACGAAAUUUUAAGUUUCGAAUUUAACCCAAAAUUGAGCGUUGAAGGGCAAAUUUGACUUUUGACUUGCUGGAUUAGUGUCUAAGCCUCCUAAUCAAGCAUAAUCGUGUAUAAUUUGCUAGAGAACUUAGACUUUUUGAAGUGAUUUUGAAUUGCUACUGAUUUUGAUUCUAGCUUUUGAACCUUUUCUUCUCGAAACCAUUCAAAGUGCUAAUAAGAAAAGUUGCUAUAAAUGUCAAACUCUACAACUUUUAGUUUGACAAAAUCUUAAGUUUCUAUUCAAAAUUUCAUGUUUCGAGUUUAACGCAAAAUUGAGCUUUUAAGGGAAAACUUGACUUUUUACUUGUUGGAUUAGUGUCUAAGCCUCCUAUUCAAGCGUAACCAAGUAUAAUUUGCUAGAGCACUUAGAGGUUUUGAAGUGAUUUUGAAUUGCUAUUGAUUUUGAUUCUAGCUUUUGAACCUCUUCCUCUCCAAACCAUUCAAAGUGCUAAUAAGAAAAGUUGCUCGAAAUGUAAAACUCUAAAACUUUUCGUUUGACAAAAUCUUAAGUUUCUAUACGAAAUUUCAGGUUUCAAAUUUAACCCAAAAUUGAGUUGUUAAGGGCAAAUUUGACUUUUCACUUGUUGGAUUAGUGUCUAAGCCUCCUAAUCAAGCGUAACCAAGUAUAAUUUGCUAGAGCAUUUAGAGUUUUUGAGGUGAUUUUGAAUUGCUACUGAUUUUGAUUCUAGCUUUUGGACCUCUUUUUCUCCAAACCAUUCAAAGUGCUAAUACGAAAAGUUGCUAGAAAUGUAAAACUCUACAACCUUUCAUUUGACAGAAUCUUAAGUUUCUGUACGAAAUUUCAAGUUUCGAAUUUAACCGAAAAUUGAGCUUUCAAGGGCAAAUUUGACUUUUGACUUGCUGGAUUAGUGUCUAAGCCUCCAAAUCAAGCAUAACCAAGUAUAAUUUGCUAGAGAACAUAGACUUUUUGAAGUGAUUUUGAAUUGCUACUAAUUUUCAUUCUAGCUUUUGAACCUCUUCCUCUCGAAACCAUCCAAAGUGCUAAUUAGAAAAGUUGCUAGAAAUAUAAAACUCUACAACUUUUCGUUUGACAAAAAUUUGGGUUUUUAUACAAAAUUUCAAGUUUUGAAUUUAACCCAAAAUUGAGCUUUCAAGGACAAAUUUGACUUUUCACUUGCUGGAUUAGGGUCUAAGCCUCCUAAUCAAGCGUAAGGAAGUAUAAAUUGCUAGAGCACUUAGAGUGUUUGAAGUGAUUUUGAAUUGCUACUGAUUUUGAUUCUAGCUUUUGAAUCUUUUCUUCUCGAAACCGUUCAAAGUGCUAAUAAGAAAAGUUGCUAUAAAUGUCAAACUCUACAACUUUUAGUUUGACAAAAUCUUAAGUUUCUAUACAAAAUUUCAUGUUUCAAAUUUAACGCAAAAUUGAGCUUUUAAGGGCAAAUUUGACUUUUCACUUGUCGGAUUAGUGUCUAAGCCUCCUAAUCAAGCGUAACCAAGUAUAAAUUGCUAGAGCACUUAGAGUGUUUGAAGUGAUUUUGAAUUGCUGCUGAUUUUAAUUCUAGCUUUUGAACCUCUUCCUCUCCAAACCAUUCAAAGUGCCAAUAACAAAAGUUGCUAGAAAUGUAAAACUCUACAACAUUUCGUUUGACCAAAACUUCAGUUUCUAUACAAAAUUCCAUGUUUCGAAUUUAACCCAAAGUUGAGCUUUCAAGGGCAAAUUUGACUUUUCACUUGCUGGAUUAGUGUCUAAGCCUCCUAAUCAAGCGUAACCAAGUAUAAUUUGCUAGAGCACUUAGAGUGUUUGAAGUGAUUUUGAAUUGCUACUGAUUUUGAUUCUAGCUUUUAAAACCUUUUCUUCUCGAAACCGUUUAAAGUGCUAAUAAGAAAAGUUGCUAUAAAUGUCAAACUCUACAACUUUUAGUUGACAAAAUCUUAAGUUUCUAUACAAAAUUUCGUAUUUCGAAUUUAACGCAAAAUUGAGCUUUUAAGGGCAAAUUUGACUUUUCACUUGUUGGAUUGGUAUCUAAGCCUCCUAAUCAAGCGUAACCAAGUAUAAUUUGCUAGAGCACUUAGAGUUUUUGAAGUGAUUUUGAAUUGCUAGUGAUUUUGAUUCUAGCUUUUGAACCUCUUCCUGUCCAAACCAUUCAAAGUGCUAAUAAGAAAAGUUGCUAGAAAUGUAAAACUCUAAAACUUUUCGUUUGACAAAAUCUUAAGUUUCUAUACAAAAUUUCAUGUUUCGAAUUUAACCCAAAAUUGAGCUUUUAAGGGCAAAUUUGACUUUUCACUUGCUGGAUUAGUGUCUAAGCCUCGUAAUCAAGCGUAACCAAGUAUAAUUUGCUACAACACUUAGAGUUUUUGAAGCGAUUUUGAAUUGCUACUGAUUUUCAUUCUAGCUUUUGAACCUCUUCCUCUCCAAACCAUACAAAGUGCUAAUAGGAAUAGUUGCUGGAAAUGUAAAAAUCUACAACUUUUAGUUUGACAGAAUCUUAAGUUUCUAUACGAAAUUUCAAGUUUCGAAUUUAACCCAAAAUUGAGCUUUCAAGGGCAAAUUUGACUUUUGACUUGCUGGAUUAGUGUCUAAGCCUCCAAAUCAAGCAUAACCAAGUAUAAUUUGCUAGAGAACAUAGACUUUUUGAAGUGAUUUUGAAUUACUACUAAUUUUCAUUCUAGCUUUUGAACCUCUUCCUCUCGAAACCAUCCAAAGUGCUAAUUAGAAAAGUUGCUAGACAUAUAAAACUCUACAACUUUUCGUUUGACAAAAAUUUAGGUUUUUAUACAAAAUUUCAAGUUUUGAAUUUAACCCAAAAUUGAGCUUUCAAGGACAAAUUUGACUUUUCACUUGCUGGAUUAGGGUCUAAGCCUCCUAAUCAAGCGUAACGAAGUAUAAAUUGCUAGAGCACUUAGAGUGUUUGAAGUGAUUUUGAAUUGCUACUGAUUUUGAUUCUAGCUUUUGAAUCUUUUCUUCUCGAAACCGUUCAAAGUGCUAAUAAGAAAAGUUGCUAUAAAUGUCAAACUCUACAACUUUUAGUUUGACAAAAUCUUAAGUUUCUAUACAAAAUUUCAUGUUUCAAAUUUAACGCAAAAUUGAGCUUUUAAGGGCAAAUUUGACUUUUCACUUGUCGGAUUAGUGUCUAAGCCUCCUAAUUAAGCGUAACCAAGUAUAAAUUGCUAGAGCACUUAGAGUUUUUGAAGUGAUUUUGAAUUGCUGCUGAUUUUGAUUCUAGCUUUUGAACCUCUUCCUCUCCAAACCAAUCAAAGUGCUAAUAACAAUAGUUGCUAGAAAUGUUAAACUCUACAACAUUUCGUUUGACCAAAACUUCAGUUUCUAUACAAAAUUCCAUGUUUCGAAUUUAACCCAAAAUUGAGCUUUCAAGGGCAAAUUUGACUUUUCACUUGCUGGAUUAGUGUCUAAGCCUCCUAAUCAAGCGUAACCAAGUAUAAUUUGCUAGAGCACUUAGAGUGUUUGAAGUGAUUUUGAAUUGCUACUGAUUUUGAUUCUAGCUUUUAAAACCUUUUCUUCUCGAAACCGUUUAAAGUGCUAAUAAUAAAAGUUGCUAUAAAUGUCAAACUCUACAACUUUUAGUUGACAAAAUCUUAAGUUUCUAUACAAAAUUUCAUGUUUCGAAUUUAACGCAAAAUUGAGCUUUUAAAGGCAAAUUUGACUUUUCACUUGUUGGAUUGGUGUCUAAGCCUCCUAAUUAAGCGUAACCAAGUAUAAUUUGCUAGAGCACUUAGAGUUUUUGAAGUGAUUUUGAAUUGCUAGUGAUUUUGAUUCUAGCUUUUGAACCUCUUCCUGUCCAAACCAUUCAAAGUGCUAAUAAGAAAAGUUGCUAGAAAUGUAAAACUCUACAACUUUUCGUUUGACAAAAUCUUAAGUUUCUAUACAAAAUUUCAUGUUUCGAAUUUAACGCAAAAUUGAGCUUUUAAGGGUAAAUUUGACUUUUCACUUGCUGGAUUAGUGUCUAAGCCUCCUAAUCAAGCGUAACCAAGUAUAAUUUGCUACAGCACUUAGAGUUUUUGAAGCGAUUUUGAAUUGCUACUGAUUUUCAUUCUAGCUUUUGAACCUCUUCCUCUCCAAACCAUUCAAAGUGCUAAUAGGAAUAGUUGCUGGAAAUGUAAAAAUCUACAACUUUUAGUUUGACAGAAUCUUAAGUUUCUAUACGAAAUUUCAAGUUUCGAAUUUAACCCAAAAUUGAGUUGUUGAGGGCAAAUUUGACUUUUCACUUGCUGGAUUAGUGUCUAAGCCUCCUAAUCAAGCGUAACCUAGUAUAAUUUGCUAGAGCACAUAGAGUUUUUGAAGUGAUUUUGAAUUGCUACUAAUUUUCAUUCUAGCUUUUGAACCUUUUACUCUCCAAACCAUUCAAAGUGCUAAUAGGAAUAAUUGCUAGAAAUGUAAAAAUCUACAACUUUUAGUUUGAUAGAAUCUUAAGUUUCUAUACGAAAUUUCAAGUUUCGAAUUUAACCCAAAAAUGAGCUUUUAAGGGCAAAUUUGACUUUUGACUUGCUGGAUUAGUGUCUAAGCCUCCUAAUCAAGCAUAACCCAGUAUAAUUUGCAAGAGAACUUAGAGUUUUUGAAGUGAUUUUGAAUUGCUAGUGAUUUUCAUUCUAGCUUUUGAACCUCUUCCUCUCGAAACCAUCCAAAGUGCUAAUUAGAAAGGUUGCUAGAAAUGGAAAACUCUACAAAUUUUAGUUUGACAAAAAUUUAGGUUUUUAUACAAAAUUUCAUGUUUUGAAUUUAACCGAAAAUUGAGCUUUCAAGGACAAAUUUGACGUUUCACUUGCUGGAUUAGUGUCUAAGCCUCCUAAUCAAGCGUAACCAAGUAUAAAUUGCUAGAGCACUUAGAGUUUUUGAAGUGAUUUUGAAUUGCUACUGAUUUUGAUUCUAGCUUUUGAACCUCUUCCUAUCCAAACCAUUCAAAGUGCUAAUAAGAAAAGUUGCUAGAAAUGUAAAACUCUACAACGUUUCGUUUAACAAAAUCUUAAGUUUCUAUACAAAAUUUCAUGUUUCGAAUUUAACGCAAAAUUGAGCUUUUAAGGGUAAAUUUGACUUUUCACUUGCUGGAUUAGUGUCUAAGCCUCCUAAUCAAGCGUAACCAAGUAUAAUUUGCUACAGCACUUAGAGUUUUUGAAGCGAUUUUGAAUUGCUACUGAUUUUCAUUCUAGCUUUUGAACCUCUUCCUCUCCAAACCAUUCAAAGUGCUAAUAGGAAUAGUUGCUGGAAAUGGAAAAAUCUACAACUUUUAGUUUGACAGAAUCUUAAGUUUCUAUACGAAAUUUCAAGUUUCGAAUUUAACCCAAAAUUGAGUUGUUGAGGGCAAAUUUGACUUUUCACUUGAUGGAUUAGUGUCUAAGCCUCCUAAUCAAGCGUAACCUAGUAUAAUUUGCUAGAGCACUUAGAGUUUUUGAAGUGAUUUUGAAUUGCUACUAAUUUUCAUUCUAGCUUUUGAACCUUUUACUCUCCAAACCAUUCAAAGUGCUAAUAGGAAUAAUUGCUAGAAAUGUAAAAAUCUACAACUUUUAGUUUGAUAAAAUCUUAAGUUUCUAUACGAAAUUUCGAGUUUCGAAUUUAACCCAAAAUUGAGCUUUUAAGGGCAAAUUUGACUUUUGACUUGCUGGAUUAGUGUCUAAGCCUCCUAAUCAAGCAUAACCCAGUAUAAUUUGCAAGAGAACUUAGAGUUUUUGAAGUGAUUUUGAAUUGCUAGUGAUUUUCAUUCUAGCUUUUGAACCUCUUCCUCUCGAAACCAUCCAAAGUGCUAAUUAGAAAGGUUGCUAGAAAUGUAAAACUCUACAACUUUUAGUUUGACAAAAAUUUAGGUUUUUAUACAAAAUUUCAUGUUUUGAAUUUAACCGAAAAUUGAGCUUUCAAGGACAAAUUUGACGUUUCACUUGCUGGAUUAGUGUCUAAGCCUCCUAAUCAAGCGUAACCAAGUAUAAAUUGCUAGAGCACUUAGAGUGUUUGAAGUGAUUUUGAAUAUUUACUGAUUUUGAUUCUAGCUUUGAACCUCUUCCUCUUCAAACCAUUCAAAGUGCUAAUUAGAAAAGUUGCUAGAAAUGUAAAAUUCUACAACUUUUCGUUUGACAAAAACUUAAGAUUCUAUACAAAAUUCCAUGUUUCGAAUUUAACCCAAAAUUGAGCUUUCAAGGGCAAAUUUGACUUUUCACUUGCUGGAUUAGUGUCUAAGCCUCCUAAUCAAGCGUAACCAAGUAUAAUUUGCUAGAGCACUUAGAGUGUUUGAAGUGAUUUUGAAUUGCUACUGAUUUUCAUUCUAGCUUUUGAACCUUUUCUUCACGAAACCAUUCAAAGUGCUAAUAAGAAAAGUUGCUAUAAAUGUCAAACUCUACAACUUUUAGUUGACAAAAUCUUAAGUUUCUAUACAAAAUUUCAUGUUUCGAAUUUAACGCAAAAUUGAGCUUUUAAGGGCAAAUUUGACUUUUCACUUGUUGGAUUGGUGUCUAAGCCUCCUAAUCAAGCGUAACCAAGUCUAAUUUGCUAGAGCACUUAGAGUUUUUGAAGUGAUUUUGAAUUGCUAGUGAUUUUGAUUCUAGCUUUUGAACCUCUUCCUGUCUAAACCAUUCAAAGUGCUAAUAAGAAAAGUUGCUAGAAAUGUAAAACUCUACAACUUUUCGUUUGACAAAAUCUUAAGUUUCUAUACAAAAUUUCAUGUUUCGAAUUUAACCCAAAAUUGAGCUUUUAAGGGUAAAUUUGACUUUUCACUUGCUGGAUUAGUGUCUAAGCCUCCUAAUCAAGCGUAACCAAGUAUAAUUUGCUACAGCACUUAGAGUUUUUGAAGCGAUUUUGAAUUGCUACUCAUUUUCAUUCUAGCUUUUGAACCUCUUCCUCUCCAAACCAUUCAAAGUGCUAAUAGGAAUAGUUGCUGGGAAUGUAAAAAUCUACAACUUUUAGUUUGACAGAAUCUUAAGUUUCUAUACGAAAUUUCAAGUUUCGAAUUUAACCCAAAAUUGAGUUGUUGAGGGCAAAUUUGACUUUUCACUUGCUGGAUUAGUGUCUAAGCCUCCUAAUCAAGCGUAACCAAGUAUAAUUUGCUAAAGCACUUAGAGUUUUUGAAGUGAUUUUGAAUUGCUACUAAUUUUGAUUCUAGCUUUUGGACCUCUUCUUCUCCAAACCAUUCAAAGUGCUAAUACGAAAAGUUGUUAGAAAUGUAAAACUCUACAACCUUUCGUUUGAUAGAAUCCUAAGUUUCUAUACGAAAUAUCAAGUUUCGAAUUUAACCCAAAAUUGAGUUGUUAAGGGCAAAUUUGACUUUUCUCUUGCUGGAUUAGUGUCUAAGCCUCCUAAUCAAGCGUAACCAAGUAUAAAUUGCUAGAGCACAUAGAGUGUUUGAAGUGAUUUUGAAUUGCUACUGAUUUUCAUUCUAGCUUUUGAACCUCUUACUCUCCAAACCAUUCAAAGUGCUAUUAGGAAUAAUUGCUAGAAAUGUAAAAAUCUACAACUUUUAGUUUGAUAGAAUCUUAAGUUUCUAUACGAAAUUUCAAGUUUCGAAUGUAACCCAAAAUUGAGCUUUUGAGGGCAAAUUUGACUUUUGACUUGCUGGAUUAGUGUCUAAGCCUCCUAAUCAAGCAUAACCAAGUAUAAUUUGCAAGAGAACUUAGAGUUUUUGAAGUGAUUUUGAAUUGCUACUGAUUAUCAUUCUAGCUUUUGAACCUCUUCCUCUCGAAACCAUCAAAAGUGCUAAUUAGAAAGGUUGCUAGAAAUGUAAAACUCUACAACUUUUAGUUUGACAAAAAUUUAGGUUUUUAUACAAAAUUUCAUGUUUUGAAUUUAACCAAAAAUUGAGGUUUCAAGGACAAAUUUGACGUUUCACUUGCUGGAUUAGUGUCUAAGCCUCCUAAUCAAGCGUAACCAAGUAUAAAUUGCUAGAGCACUUAGAGUGUUUGAAGUGAUUUUGAAUUGCUACUGAUUUUGAUUCUAGCUUUGAACCUCUUCCUCUUCAAACCAUUCAAAGUGCUAAUUAGAAAAGUUGUUAGAAAUGUAAAACUCUACAACUUUUCGUUUGACAAAAACAUAAGAUUCUAUACAAAAUUCCAUGUUUCGAAUUUAACCCAAAAUUGAGCUUUCAAGGGCAAAUUUGACUUUUCACUUGCUGGAUUAGUGUCUAAGCCUCCUAAUCAAGCGUAACCAAGUAUAAUUUGCUAGAGCACUUAGAGUGUUUGAAGUGAUUUUGAAUUGCUACUGAUUUUCAUUCUAGCUUUUGAACCUUUUCUUCACGAAACCAUUCAAAGUGCUAAUAAGAAAAGUUGCUAUAAAUGUCAAAAUCUACAACUUUUAGUUGACAAAAUCUUAAGUUUCUAUACAAAAUUUCAUGUUUCGAAUUUAACGCAAAAUUGAGGUUUUAAGGGCAAAUUUGAGUUUUCACUUGUUGGAUUGGUGUCUAAGCCUCCUAAUCAAGCGUAACCAAGUAUAAUUUGCUAGAGCACUUAGAGUUUUUGAAGUGAUUUUGAAUUGCUAGUGAUUUUGAUUCUAGCUUUUGAACCUCUUCCUGUCCAAACCAUUCAAAGUGCUAAUAAGAAAAGUUGCUAGAAAUGUAAAACUCUACAACUUUUCGUUUGACAAAAUCUUAAGUUUCUAUACAAAAUUUCAUGUUUCGAAUUUAACCCAAAAUUGAGCUUUUAAGGGUAAAUUUGACUUUUCACUUGCUGGAUUAGUGUCUAAGCCUCCUAAUCAAGCGUAACUAAGUAUAAUUUGCUACAACACUUAGAGUUUUUGAAGCGAUUUUGAAUUGCUACUGAUUUUCAUUCUAGCUUUUGAACCUCUUCCUCUCCAAACCAUUCAAAGUGCUAAUAGGAAUAGUUGCUGGAAAUGUAAAAAUCUACAACUUUUAGUUUGACAGAAUCUUAAGUUUCUAUACGAAAUUUCAAGUUUCGAAUUUAACCCAAAAUUGAGUUGUUGAGGGCAAAUUUGACUUUUCACUUGCUGGAUUAGUGUCUAAGCCUCCUAAUCAAGCGUAACCAAGUAUAAUUUGCUAAAGCACUUAAAGUUUUUGAAGUGAUUUUGAAUUGCUACUAAUUUUGAUUCUAGCUUUUGGACCUCUUCUUCUCCAAACCAUUCAAAGUGCUAAUACGAAAAGUUGUUAGAAAUGUAAAACUCUACAACCUUUCGUUUGAUAGAAUCCUAAGUUUCUAUACGAAAUUUCAAGUUUCGAAUUUAACCCAAAAUUGAGUUGUUAAGGGCAAAUUUGACUUUUCUCUUGCUGGAUUAGUGUCUAAGCCUCCUAAUCAAGCGUAACCAAGUAUAAAUUGCUAGAGCACAUAGAGUGUUUGAAGUGAUUUUGAAUUGCUACUGAUUUUCAUUCUAGCUUUUGAACCUCUUACUCUCCAAACCAUUCAAAGUGCUAAUAGGAAUAAUUGCUAGAAAUGUAAAAAUCUACAACUUUUAGUUUGAUAGAAUCUUAAGUUUCUAUACGAAAUUUCAAGUUUCGAAUUUAACCCAAAAUUGAGCUUUUGAGGGCAAAUUUGACUUUUGACUUGCUGGAUUAGUGUCUAAGCCUCCUAAUCAAGCAUAACCAAGUAUAAUUUGCAAGAGAACUUAGAGUUUUUGAAGUGAUUUUGAAUUGCUACUGAUUUUCAUUCUAGCUUUUGAACCUCUUCCUCUCGAAACCAUCAAAAGUGCUAAUUAGAAAGGUUGCUAGAAAUGUAAAACUCUACAACUUUUAGUUUGACAAAAAUUUAGAUUUUUAUACAAAAUUUCAUGUUUUGAAUUUAACCAAAAAUUGAGGUUUCAAGGACAAAUUUGACGUUACACUUGCUGGAUUAGUGUCUAAGCCUCCUAAUCAAGCGUAACCAAGUAUAAAUUGCUAGAGCACUUAGAGUGUUUGAAGUGAUUUUGAAUUGCUACUGAUUUUGAUUCUAGCUUUGAACCUCUUCCUCUUCAAACCAUUCAAAGUGCUAAUUAGAAAAGUUGCUAGAAAUGUAAAACUCUACAACUUUUCGUUUGACAAAAACAUAAGAUUCUAUACAAAAUUCCAUGUUUCGAAUUUAACCCAAAAUUGAGCUUUCAAGGGCAAAUUUGACUUUUCACUUGCUGGAUUAGUGUCUAAGCCUCCUAAUCAAGCGUAACCAAGUAUAAUUUGCUAGAGCACUUAGAGUGUUUGAAGUGAUUUUGAAUUGCUACUGAUUUUCAUUCUAGCUUUUGAACCUUUUCUUCACGAAACCAUUCAAAGUGCUAAUAAGAAAAGUUGCUAUAAAUGUCAAACUCUACAACUUUUAGUUAACAAAAUCUUAAGUUUCUAUACAAAAUUUCAGGUUUCGAAUUUAACCCAAAAUUGAGCUUUUAAGGGCAAAUUUGACUUUUCACUUGCUGGAUUAGUGUCUAAGCCUCCUAAUCAAGCGUAACCAAGUAUAAUUUGGUACAGCACUUAGAGUUUUUGAAGCGAUUUUGAAUUGCUACUGAUUUUCAUUCUAGCUGUUGAACCUCUUCCUGUCCAAACCAUUCAAAGUGCUAAUAAGAAAAGUUGCUAGAAAUGUAAAACUCUACAACUUUUCGUUUGACAAAAUCUUAAGUUUCUAUACAAAAUUUCAUGUUUCGAAUUUAACCCAAAAUUGAGCUUUUAAGGGUAAAUUUGACUUUUCACUUGCUGGAUUAGUGUCUAAGCCUCCUAAUCAAGCGUAACCAAGUAUAAUUUGCUACAGCACUUAGAGUUUUUGAAGCGAUUUUGAAUUGCUACUCAUUUUCAUUCUAGCUUUUGAACCUCUUCCUCUCCAAACCAUUCAAAGUGCUAAUAGGAAUAGUUGCUGGGAAUGUAAAAAUCUACAACUUUUAGUUUGACAGAAUCUUAAGUUUCUAUACGAAAUUUCAAGUUUCGAAUUUAACCCAAAAUUGAGUUGUUGAGGGCAAAUUUGACUUUUCACUUGCUGGAUUAGUGUCUAAGCCUCCUAAUCAAGCGUAACUAAGUAUAAUUUGCUACAACACUUAGAGUUUUUGAAGCGAUUUUGAAUUGCUACUGAUUUUCAUUCUAGCUUUUGAACCUCUUCCUCUCCAAACCAUUCAAAGUGCUAAUAGGAAUAGUUGCUGGAAAUGUAAAAAUCUACAACUUUUAGUUUGACAGAAUCUUAAGUUUCUAUACGAAAUUUCAAGUUUCGAAUUUAACCCAAAAUUGAGUUGUUGAGGGCAAAUUUGACUUUUCACUUGCUGGAUUAGUGUCUAAGCCUCCUAAUCAAGCGUAACCAAGUAUAAUUUGCUAAAGCACUUAGAGUUUUUGAAGUGAUUUUGAAUUGCUACUAAUUUUGAUUCUAGCUUUUGGACCUCUUCUUCUCCAAACCAUUCAAAGUGCUAAUACGAAAAGUUGUUAGAAAUGUAAAACUCUACAACCUUUCGUUUGAUAGAAUCCUAAGUUUCUAUACGAAAUUUCAAGUUUCGAAUUUAACCCAAAAUUGAGUUGUUAAGGGCAAAUUUGACUUUUCUCUUGCUGGAUUAGUGUCUAAGCCUCCUAAUCAAGCGUAACCAAGUAUAAAUUGCUAGAGCACAUAGAGUGUUUGAAGUGAUUUUGAAUUGCUACUGAUUUUCAUUCUAGCUUUUGAACCUCUUACUCUCCAAACCAUUCAAAGUGCUAAUAGGAAUAAUUGCUAGAAAUGUAAAAAUCUACAACUUUUAGUUUGAUAGAAUCUUAAGUUUCUAUACGAAAUUUCAAGUUUCGAAUUUAACCCAAAAUUGAGCUUUUGAGGGCAAAUUUGACUUUUGACUUGCUGGAUUAGUGUCUAAGCCUCCUAAUCAAGCAUAACCAAGUAUAAUUUGCAAGAGAACUUAGAGUUUUUGAAGUGAUUUUGAAUUGCUACUGAUUUUCAUUCUAGCUUUUGAACCUCUUCCUCUCGAAACCAUCAAAAGUGCUAAUUAGAAAGGUUGCUAGAAAUGUAAAACUCUACAACUUUUAGUUUGACAAAAAUUUAGAUUUUUAUACAAAAUUUCAUGUUUUGAAUUUAACCAAAAAUUGAGGUUUCAAGGACAAAUUUGACGUUACACUUGCUGGAUUAGUGUCUAAGCCUCCUAAUCAAGCGUAACCAAGUAUAAAUUGCUAGAGCACUUAGAGUGUUUGAAGUGAUUUUGAAUUGCUACUGAUUUUGAUUCUAGCUUUGAACCUCUUCCUCUUCAAACCAUUCAAAGUGCUAAUUAGAAAAGUUGCUAGAAAUGUAAAACUCUACAACUUUUCGUUUGACAAAAACAUAAGAUUCUAUACAAAAUUCCAUGUUUCGAAUUUAACCCAAAAUUGAGCUUUCAAGGGCAAAUUUGACUUUUCACUUGCUGGAUUAGUGUCUAAGCCUCCUAAUCAAGCGUAACCAAGUAUAAUUUGCUAGAGCACUUAGAGUGUUUGAAGUGAUUUUGAAUUGCUACUGAUUUUCAUUCUAGCUUUUGAACCUUUUCUUCACGAAACCAUUCAAAGUGCUAAUAAGAAAAGUUGCUAUAAAUGUCAAACUCUACAACUUUUAGUUGACAAAAUCUUAAGUUUCUAUACAAAAUUUCAGGUUUCGAAUUUAACCCAAAAUUGAGCUUUUAAGGGCAAAUUUGACUUUUCACUUGCUGGAUUAGUGUCUAAGCCUCCUAAUCAAGCGUAACCAAGUAUAAUUUGGUACAACACUUAGAGUUUUUGAAGCGAUUUUGAAUUGCUACUGAUUUUCAUUCUAGCUGUUGAACCUCUUCCUGUCCAAACCAUUCAAAGUGCUAAUAAGAAAAGUUGCUAGAAAUGUAAAACUCUACAACUUUUCGUUUGACAAAAAUUUAAGUUUCUAUACAAAAUUUCAAGUUUCGAAUUUAACCCAAAAUUGAGCUUUUAGGGGUAAAUUUGACUUUUCACUUGCUGGAUUAGUGUCUAAGCCUCCUAAUCAAGCGUAACUAAGUAUAAUUUGCUACAACACUUAGAGUUUUUGAAGCGAUUUUGAAUUGCUACUGAUUUUCAUUCUAGCUUUUGAACCUCUUCCUCUCCAAACCAUUCAAAGUGCUAAUAGGAAUAGUUGCUGGAAAUGUAAAAAUCUACAACUUUUAGUUUGACAGAAUCUUAAGUUUCUAUACGAAAUUUCCAGUUUCGAAUUUAACCCAAAAUUUAGUUGUUGAGGGCAAAUUUGACUUUUCACUUGCUGGAUUAGUGUCUAAGCCUCCUAAUCAAGCGUAACCAAGUAUAAUUUGCUAAAGCACUUAGAGUUUUUGAAGUGAUUUUGAAUUGCUACUAAUUUUGAUUCUAGCUUUUGGACCUCUUCUUCUCCAAACCAUUCAAAGUGCUAAUACGAAAAGUUGUUAGAAAUGUAAAACUCUACAACCUUUCGUUUGAUAGAAUCCUAAGUUUCUAUACGAAAUUUCAAGUUUCGAAUUUAACCCAAAAUUGAGUUGUUUAGGGCAAAUUUGACUUUUCUCUUGCUGGAUUAGUGUCUAAGCCUCCUAAUCAAGCGUAACCAAGUAUAAAUUGCUAGAGCACAUAGAGUGUUUGUAGUGAUUUUGAAUUGCUACUGAUUUUCAUUCUAGCUUUUGAACCUCUUACUCUCCAAACCAUUCAAAGUGCUAAUAGGAAUAAUUGCUAGAAAUGUAAAAAUCUACAACUUUUAGUUUGAUAGAAUCUUAAGUUUCUAUACGAAAUUUCAAGUUUCGAAUUUAACCCAAAAUUGAGCUUUUGAGGGCAAAUUUGACUUUUGACUUGCUGGAUUAGUGUCUAAGCCUCCUAAUCAAGCAUAACCAAGUAUAAUUUGCAAGAGAACUUAGAGUUUUUGAAGUGAUUUUGAAUUGCUACUGAUUUUCAUUCUAGCUUUUGAACCUCUUCCUCUCGAAACCAUCAAAAGUGCUAAUUAGAAAGGUUGCUAGAAAUGUAAAACUCUACAACUUUUAGUUUGACAAAAAUUUAGAUUUUUAUACAAAAUUUCAUGUUUUGAAUUUAACCAAAAAUUGAGGUUUCAAGGACAAAUUUGAUGUUACACUUGCUGGAUUAGUGUCUAAGCCUCCUAAUCAAGCGUAACCAAAUAAAUUGCUAGAGCACUUAGAGUGUUUGAAGUGAUUUUGAAUUGCUACUGAUUUUGAUUCUAGCUUUGAACCUCUUCCUCUUCAAACCAUUCAAAGUGCUAAUUAGAAAAGUUGCUAGAAAUGUAAAACUCUACAACUUUUCGUUUGACAAAAACAUAAGAUUCUAUACAAAAUUCCAUGUUUCGAAUUUAACCCAAAAUUGAGCUUUCAAGGGCAAAUUUGACUUUUCACUUGCUGGAUUAGUGUCUAAGCCUCCUAAUCAAGCGUAACCAAGUAUAAUUUGCUAGAGCACUUAGAGUGUUUGAAGUGAUUUUGAAUUGCUACUGAUUUUCAUUCUAGCUUUUGAACCUUUUCUUCACGAAACCAUUCAAAGUGCUAAUAAGAAAAGUUGCUAUAAAUGUCAAACUCUAAAACUUUUAGUUGACAAAAUCUUAAGUUUCUAUACAAAAUUUCAUGUUUCGAAUUUAACCCAAAAUUGAGCUUUUAAGGGCAAAUUUGACUUUUCACUUGCUGGAUUAGUGUCUAAGCCUCCUAAUCAAGCGUAACCAAGUAUAAUUUGGUACAUCACUUAGAGUUUUUGAAGCGAUUUUGAAUUGCUACUGAUUUUCAUUCUAGCUGUUGAACCUCUUCCUCUCGAAACCUUCCAAAGUGCUAAUUAGAAAGGUUGCUAGAAAUGUAAAACUCUACAACUUUUUGUUUGACAAAAAUUUAGGUUUUUAUACAAAAUUUCAAGUUUUGAAUUUAACCCAAAAUUGAGCUUUCAAGGACAAAUUUGACGUUUCACUUGCUGGAUUAGUGUCUAAGCCUCCUAAUCAAGCGUAACCAAGUAUAAAUUGCUAGAGCACUUAGAGUGUUUGAAGUGAUUUUGAAUUGCUACUGAUUUUGAUUCUAGCUUUGAACCUCUUCCUCUUCAAACCAUUCAAAGUGCUAAUUAGAAAAGUUGCUAGAAAUGUAAAACUCUACAACUUUUCGUUUGACAAAAACUUAAGAUUCUAUACAAAAUUCCAUGUUUCGAAUUUAACCCAAAAUUGAGCUUUCAAGGGCAAAUUUGACUUUUCACUUGCUGGAUUAGUGUCUAAGCCUCCUAAUCAGGCGUAACCAAGUAUAAUUUGCUAGAGCACUUAGAGUUUUUGAAGUGAUUUUGAAUUGCUACUGAUUUUCAUUCUAGCUUUUGAACCUCUUCCUCUCGAAACCAUCCAAAGUGCUAAUUAGAAAGGUUGCUACAAAUGUAAAACUCUACAACUUUUAGUUUGACAAAAAUAUAGGUUUUUAUACAAAAUAUCAUGUUUUGAAUUUAACCCAAAAUUGAGCUUUCAAGGUCAAAUUUGACGUUUCACUUGCUGGAUUAGUGUCUAAGCCUCCUAAUCAAGCGUAACCAAGUAUAAUUGCUAGAGCACUUAGAGUGUUUGAAGUGAUUUUGAAUUGCUACUGAUUUUGAUUCUAGCUUUGAACCUCUUCCUCUUCAAACCAUUCAAAGUGCUAAUUAGAAAAGUUGCUAGAAAUGUAAAACUCUACAACUUUUCGUUUGACAAAAACUUAAGAUUCUAUACAAAAUUCCAUGUUUCGAAUUUAACCCAAAAUUGAGCUUUUAAGGGCAAAUUUGACUUUUCACUUGCUGGAUUAGUGUCUAAGCCUCCUUAUCAAGCGUAACCAAGUAUAAUUUGCUAGAGCACUUAGAGUUUUUGAAGUGAUUUUGAAUUGCUACUGAUUUUCAUUCUAGCUUUUGAACUUUUUCUUCACGAAACCAUUCAAAGUGCUAAUAAGAAAAGUUGCUAUAAAUGUCAAACUCUACAACUUUUAAUUGACAAAAUCUUAAGUUUCUAUACAAAAUUUCAUGUUUCGAAUUUAACGCAAAAUUGAGCUUUUAAGGGCAAAUUUGACUUUUCACUUGUUGGAUUGGUGUCUAAGCCUCCUAAUCAAGCGUAACCAAGUAUAAUUUGCUAGAGCACUUAGAGUUUUUGAAGUGAUUUUGAAUUGCUAGUGAUUUUGAUUCUAGCUUUUGAACCUCUUCCUGUCCAAACCAUUCAAAGUGCUAAUAAGAAAAGUUGCUAGAAAUGUAAAACUCUAAAACUUUUCGUGGGACAAAAUCUUAAGUUUCUAUACAAAAUUUCAUGUUUCGAAUUUAACCCAAAAUUGAGCUUUUAAGGGCUAAUUUGACUUUUCACUUGCUGGAUUAGUGUCUAAGCCUCGUAAUCAAGCGUAACCAAGUAUAAUUUGCUACAACACUUAGAGUUUUUGAAGCGAUUUUGAAUUGCUACUGAUUUUCAUUCUAGCUUUUGAACCUCUUCCUCUCCAAACCAUUCAAAGUGCUAAUAGGAAUAGUUGCUGGAAAUGUAAAAAUCUACAACUUUUAGUUUGACAGAAUCUUAAGUUUCUAUACGAAAUUUCAAGUUUUGAAUUUAACCCAAAAUUGAGUUGUUGAGGGCAAAUUUAACUUUUCACUUGCUGGAUUAGUGUCUAAGCCUCCUAAUGAAGCGUAACCUAGUAUAAUUUGCUAGAGCACUUAGAGUUUUUGAAGUGAUUUUGAAUUGCUACUAAUUUUGAUUCUAGCUUUUGGACCUCUUCUUCUCCAAGCCAUUCAAAGUGCUAAUAAGAAAAGUUGUUAGAAAUGUAAAACUCUACAACCUUUCGUUUGAUAGAAUCCUAAGUUUCUAUACGAAAUUUCAAGUUUUGAAUUUAACCCAAAAUACAGUUGUUAAGGGCAAAUUUGACUUUUCUCUUGCUGGAUUAGUGUCUAAGCCUCCUAAUCAAGCGUAACCAAGUAUAAAUUGCUAGAGCACAUAGAGUGUUUGAAGUGAUUUUGAAUUGCUACUGAUUUUCAUUCUAGCUUUUGAACCUCUUACUCUCCAAACCAUUCAAAGUGCUAAUAGAAAUAAUUGCUAGAAAUGUAAAAAUCUACAACUUUUAGUUUGAUAGAAUCUUAAGUUUCUAUACGAAAUUUCAAGUUUCGAAUUUAACCCAAAAUUGGGCUUUUAAGGGCAAAUUUGACUUUUGACUUGCUGGAUUAGUGUCUAAGCCUGCUAAUCAAGCAUAACCUAGUAUAAUUUGCAAGAGAACUUAGAGUUUUUGAAGUGAUUUUGAAUUGCUACUGAUUUUCAUUCUAGCUGUUGAACCUCUUCCUCUCGAAACCUUCCAAAGUGCUAAUUAGAAAGGUUGCUAGAAAUGUAAAACUCUACAACUUUUAGUUUGACAAAAAUUUAGGUUUUUAUACAAAAUUUCAAGUUUUGAAUUUAACCCAAAAUUGAGCUUUCAAGGACAAAUUUGACGUUUCACUUGCUGGAUUAGUGUCUAAGCCUCCUAAUCAAGCGUAACCAAGUAUAAAUUGCUAGAGCACUUAGAGUGUUUGAAGUGAUUUUGAAUUGCUACUGAUUUUGAUUCUAGCUUUGAACCUCUUCCUCUUCAAACCAUUCAAAGUGCUAAUUAGAAAAGUUGCUAGAAAUGUAAAACUCUACAACUUUUCGUUUGACAAAAACUUAAGAUUCUAUAAGAAAUUCCAUGUUUCGAAUUUAACCCAAAAUUGAGCUUUCAAGGGCAAAUUUGACUUUUCACUUGCUGGAUUAGUGUCUAAGCCUCCUAAUCAGGCGUAACCAAGUAUAAUUUGCUAGAGCACUUAGAGUUUUUGAAGUGAUUUUGAAUUGCUACUGAUUUUCAUUCUAGCUUUUGAACUUUUUCUUCACGAAACCAUACAAAGUGCUAAUAAGAAAAGUUGCUAUAAAUGUCAAACUCUACAACUUUUAAUUGACAAAAUCUUAAGUUUCUAUACAAAAUUUCAUGUUUCGAAUUUAACGCAAAAUUGAGCUUUUAAGGGCAAAUUUGACUUUUCACUUGUUGGAUUGGUGUCUAAGCCUCCUAAUCAAGCGUAACCAAGUAUAAUUUGCUAGAGCACUUAGAGUUUUUGAAGUGAUUUUGAAUUGCUAGUGAUUUUGAUUCUAGCUUUUGAACCUCUUCCUGUCCAAACCAUUCAAAGUGCUAAUAAGAAAAGUUGCUAGAAAUGUAAAACUCUAAAACUUUUCGUGGGACAAAAUCUUAAGUUUCUAUACAAAAUUUCAUGUUUCGAAUUUAACCCAAAAUUGAGCUUUUAAGGGCUAAUUUGACUUUUCACUUGCUGGAUUAGUGUCUAAGCCUCGUAAUCAAGCGUAACCAAGUAUAAUUUGCUACAACACUUAGAGUUUUUGCAGCGAUUUUGAAUUGCUACUGAUUUUCAUUCUAGCUUUUGAACCUCUUCCUCUCCAAACCAUUCAAAGUGCUAAUAGGAAUAGUUGCUGGAAAUGUAAAAAUCUACAACUUUUAGUUUGACAGAAUCUUAAGUUUCUAUACGAAAUUUCAAGUUUUGAAUUUAACCCAAAAUUGAGUUGUUGAGGGCAAAUUUAACUUUUCACUUGCUGGAUUAGUGUCUAAGCCUCCUAAUGAAGCGUAACCUAGUAUAAUUUGCUAGAGCACUUAGAGUUUUUGAAGUGAUUUUGAAUUGCUACUAAUUUUGAUUCUAGCUUUUGGACCUCUUCUUCUCCAAACCAUUCAAAGUGCUAAUAAGAAAAGUUGUUAGAAAUGUAAAACUCUACAACCUUUCGUUUGAUAGAAUCCUAAGUUUCUAUACGAAAUUUCAAGUUUUGAAUUUAACCCAAAAUACAGUUGUUAAGGGCAAAUUUGACUUUUCUCUUGCUGGAUUAGUGUCUAAGCCUCCUAAUCAAGCGUAACCAAGUAUAAAUUGCUAGAGCACAUAGAGUGUUUGAAGUGAUUUUGAAUUGCUACUGAUUUUCAUUCUAGCUUUUGAACCUCUUACUCUCCAAACCAUUCAAAGUGCUAAUAGAAAUAAUUGCUAGAAAUGUAAAAAUCUACAACUUUUAGUUUGAUAGAAUCUUAAGUUUCUAUACGAAAUUUCAAGUUUCGAAUUUAACCCAAAAUUGGGCUUUUAAGGGCAAAUUUGACUUUUGACUUGCUGGAUUAGUGUCUAAGCCUGCUAAUCAAGCAUAACCUAGUAUAAUUUGCAAGAGAACUUAGAGUUUUUGAAGUGAUUUUGAAUUGCUACUGAUUUUCAUUCUAGCUGUUGAACCUCUUCCUCUCGAAACCUUCCAAAGUGCUAAUUAGAAAGGUUGCUAGAAAUGUAAAACUCUACAACUUUUAGUUUGACAAAAAUUUAGGUUUUUAUACAAAAUUUCAAGUUUUGAAUUUAACCCAAAAUUGAGCUUUCAAGGACAAAUUUGACGUUUCACUUGCUGGAUUAGUGUCUAAGCCUCCUAAUCAAGCGUAACCAAGUAUAAAUUGCUAGAGCACUUAGAGUGUUUGAAGUGAUUUUGAAUUGCUACUGAUUUUGAUUCUAGCUUUGAACCUCUUCCUCUUCAAACCAUUCAAAGUGCUAAUUAGAAAAGUUGCUAGAAAUGUAAAACUCUACAACUUUUCGUUUGACAAAAACUUAAGAUUCUAUACAAAAUUCCAUGUUUCGAAUUUAACCCAAAAUUGAGCUUUCAAGGGCAAAUUUGACUUUUCACUUGCUGGAUUAGUGUCUAAGCCUCCUAAUCAAGCGUAACCAAGUAUAAUUUGCUAGAGCACUUAGAGUUUUUGAAGUGAUUUUGAAUUGCUAGUGAUUUUGAUUCUAUCUUUUGAACCUCUUUCUCUCCAAACCAUUCAAAGUGCUAAUAGGAAUAGUUGCUGGAAAUGUAAAAAUCUACAACUUUUAGUUUGACAGAAUCUUAAGUUUCUAUACGAAAUUUCAAGUUUCGAAUUUAACCCAAAAUUGAGUUGUUGAGGGCAAAUUUGACUUUUCACUUGCUGGAUUAGUGUCUAAGCCUCCUAAUCAAGCGUAACCAAGUAUAAUUUGCUAAAGCACUUAGAGUUUUUGAAGUGAUUUUGAAUUGCUACUAAUUUUGAUUCUAGCUUUUGGACCUCUUCUUCUCCAAACCAUUCAAAGUGCUAAUACGAAAAGUUGUUAGAAAUGUAAAAAUUUACAACCUUUCGUUUGAUAGAAUCCUAAGUUUCUAUACGAAAUUUCAAGUUUCGAAUUUAACCCAAAAUUGAGUUGUUAAGGGCAAAUUUGACUUUUCACUUGCUGGAUUAGUGUCUAAGCCUCCUAAUCAAGCGUAACCAAGUAUAAAUUGCUAGAGCACAUAGAGUGUUUGAAGUGAUUUUGAAUUGCUACUGAUUUUCAUUCUAGCUUUUGAACCUCUUACUCUCGAAACCAUUCAAAGUGCUAAUAGGAAUAAUUGCUAGAAAUGUAAAAAUCUACAACUUUUAGUUUGAUAGAAUCUUAAGUUUCUAUACGAAAUAUCAAGUUUCGAAUUUAACCCAAAAUUGAGCUUUUGAGGGCAAAUUUGACUUUUGACUUGCUGGAUUAGUGUCUAAGCCUCCUAAUCAAGCAUAACCAAGUAUAAUUUGCAAGAGAACUUAGAGUUUUUGAAGUGAUUUUGAAUUGCUACUGAUUUUCAUUCUAGCUUUUGAACCUCUUCCUCUCGAAACCAUCAAAAGUGCUAAUUAGAAAGGUUGCUAGUAAUGUAAAACUCUACAACUUUUAGUUUGACAAAAAUUUAGGUUUUUAUACAAAAUUUCAUGUUUUGAAUUUAACCAAAAAUUGAGGUUUCAAGGACAAAUUUGACGUUUCACUUGCUGGAUUAGUGUCUCUGCGUCCUAAUCAAGCGUAACCAAGUAUAAAUUGCUAGAGCACAUAGAGUGUUUGAAGUAAUUUUUAAUUGCUACUGAUUUUCAUUCUAGCUUUUGAACCUCUUACUCUCCAAACCAUUCAAAGUGCUAAUAGGAAUAAUUGCUAGAAAUGUAAAAAUCUACAACUUUUAGUUUGAUAGAAUCUUAAGUUUCUAUACGAAAUUUCAAGUUUCGAAUUUAACCCAAAAUUGAGCUUUUGAGGGCAAAUUUGACUUUUGACUUGCUGGAUUAGUGUCUAAGCCUCCUAAUCAUGCAUAACCAAGUAUAAUUUGAAAGAGAACUUAGAGUUUUUGAAGUGAUUUUGAAUUGCUACUGAUUUUCAUUCUAGCUUUUGAACCUCUUCCUCUCGAAACCAUCCAAAGUGCUAAUUAGAAAGGUUGCUAGAAAUGUAAAACUCUACAACUUUUAGUUUGACAAAAAUUUAGGUUUUUAUACAAAAUUUCAAGUUUUGAAUUUAACCCAAAAUUGAGCUUUCAAGGACAAAUUUGACGUUUCACUUGCUGGAUUAGUGUCUAAGCCUCCUAAUCAAGCGUAACCAAGUAUAAAUUGCUAGAGCACUUAGAGUGUUUGAAGUGAUUUUGAAUUGCUACUGAUUUUGAUUCUAGCUUUGAACCUCUUCCUCUUCAAACCAUUCAAAGUGCUAAUUAGAAAAGUUGCUAGAAAUGUAAAACUCUACAACUUUUCGUUUGACAAAAACUUAAGAUUCUAUACAAAAUUCCAUGUUUCGAAUUUAACCCAAAAUUGAGCUUUCAAGGGCAAAUUUGACUUUUCACUUGCUGGAUUAGUGUCUAAGCCUCCUAAUCAAGCGUAACCAAGUAUAAUUUGCUAGAGCACUUAGAGUGUUUGAAGUGAUUUUGAAUUGCUACUGAUUUUCAUUCUAGCUUUUGAACCUUUUCUUCACGAAACCAUUCAAAGUGCUAAUAAGAAAAGUUGCUAUAAAUGUCAAACUCUAUAACUUUUAGUUUGACAAAAUCUUAAGUUUCUAUACAAAAUUUCAUGUUUCGAAUUUAAUGCAAAAUUGAGCUUUUAAGGGCAAAUUUGACUUUUCACUUGUUGGAUUAGUGUCUAAGGCUCCUAAUCAAGCGUAACCAAGUAUAAUUUGCUAGAGCACUUAGAGUUUUUGAAGUGAUUUUGAAUUGCUAGUGAUUUUGAUUCUAUCUUUUGAACCUCUUCCUCUCCAAACCAUUCAAAGUGCUAAUAGGAAUAGUUGCUGGAAAUGUAAAAAUCUACAACUUUUAGUUUGACAGAAUCUUAAGUUUCUAUACGAAAUUUCAAGUUUCGAAUUUAACCCAAAAUUGAGUUGUUGAGGGCAAAUUUGACUUUUCACUUGCUGGAUUAGUGUCUAAGCCUCCUAAUCAAGCGUAACCAAGUAUAAUUUGCUAAAGCACUUAGAGUUUUUGAAGUGAUUUUGAAUUGCUACUAAUUUUGAUUCUAGCUUUUGGACCUCUUCUUCUCCAAACCAUUCAAAGUGCUAAUACGAAAAGUUGUUAGAAAUGUAAAAAUUUACAACCUUUCGUUUGAUAGAAUCCUAAGUUUCUAUACGAAAUUUCAAGUUUCGAAUUUAACCCAAAAUUGAGUUGUUAAGGGCAAAUUUGACUUUUCUCUUGCUGGAUUUGUGUCUAAGCCUCCUAAUCAAGCGUAACCAAGUAUAAAUUGCUCGAGCACAUAGAGUGUUUGAAGUGAUUUUGAAUUGCUACUGAUUUUCAUUCUAGCUUUUGAACCUCUUACUCUCCAAACCAUUCAAAGUGCUAAUAGGAAUAAUUGCUAGAAAUGUAAAAAUCUACAACUUUUAGUUUGAUAGAAUCUUAAGUUUCUAUACGAAAUUUCAAGUUUCGAAUUUAACCCAAAAUUGAGCUUUUGAGGGCAAAUUUGACUUUUGACUUGCUGGAUUAGUGUCUAAGCCUCCUAAUCAAGCAUAACCAAGUAUAAUUUGCAAGAGAACUUAGAGUUUUUGAAGUGAUUUUGAAUUGCUACUGAUUUUCAUUCUAGCUUUUGAACCUCUUCCUCUCGAAACCAUCAAAAGUGCUAAUUAGAAAGGUUGCUAGUAAUGUAAAACUCUACAACUUUUAGUUUGACAAAAAUUUAGGUUUUUAUACAAAAUUUCAUGUUUUGAAUUUAACCAAAAAUUGAGGUUUCAAGGACAAAUUUGCGUUUCACUUGCUGGAUUAGUGUCUAAGCGUCCUAAUCAAGCGUAACCAAGUAUAAAUUGCUAGAGCACAUAGAGUGUUUGAAGUAAUUUUUAAUUGCUACUGAUUUUCAUUCUAGCUUUUGAACCUCUUACUCUCCAAACCAUUCAAAGUGCUAAUAGGAAUAAUUGCUAGAAAUGUAAAAAUCUACAACUUUUAGUUUGAUAGAAUCUUAAGUUUCUAUACGAAAUUUCAAGUUUCGAAUUUAACCCAAAAUUGAGCUUUUGAGGGCAAAUUUGACUUUUGACUUGCUGGAUUAGUGUCUAAGCCUCCUAAUCAUGCAUAACCAAGUAUAAUUUGCAAGAGAACUUAGAGUUUUUGAAGUGAUUUUGAAUUGCUACUGAUUUUCAUUCUAGCUUUUGAACCUCUUCCUCUCGAAACCAUCCAAAGUGCUAAUUAGAAAGGUUGCUAGAAAUGUAAAACUCUACAACUUUUAGUUUGACAAAAAUUUAGGUUUUUAUACAAAAUUUCAAGUUUUGAAUUUAACCCAAAAUUGAGCUUUCAAGGACAAAUUUGACGUUUCACUUGCUGGAUUAGUGUCUAAGCCUCCUAAUCAAGCGUAACCAAGUAUAAAUUGCUAGAGCACUUAGAGUGUUUGAAGUGAUUUUGAAUUGCUACUGAUUUUGAUUCUAGCUUUGAACCUCUUCCUCUUCAAACCAUUCAAAGUGCUAAUUAGAAAAGUUGCUAGAAAUGUAAAACUCUACAACUUUUCGUUUGACAAAAACUUAAGAUUCUAUACAAAAUUCCAUGUUUCGAAUUUAACCCAAAAUUGAGCUUUCAAGGGCAAAUUUGACUUUUCACUUGCUGGAUUAGUGUCUAAGCCUCCUAAUCAAGCGUAACCAAGUAUAAUUUGCUAGAGCACUUAGAGUGUUUGAAGUGAUUUUGAAUUGCUACUGAUUUUCAUUCUAGCUUUUGAACCUUUUCUUCACGAAACCAUUCAAAGUGCUAAUAAGAAAAGUUGCUAUAAAUGUCAAACUCUAUAACUUUUAGUUUGACAAAAUCUUAAGUUUCUAUACAAAAUUUCAUGUUUCGAAUUUAAUGCAAAAUUGAGCUUUUAAGGGCAAAUUUGACUUUUCACUUGUUGGAUUAGUGUCUAAGGCUCCUAAUCAAGCGUAACCAAGUAUAAUUGGCAAGAGCACUUAGAGUUUUUGAAGUAAUUUUGAAUUGCUACUGAUUUUGAUUCUAGCUUGUGAACCUCUUCCCCUCCAAACCAUUCAAAGUGCUAAUAAGAAAAGUUGCUAGAAAUGUAAAACUCUACAACUUUUCAUUUGACAGAAUCUUAAGUUUCUAUACGAAAUUUCAAGUUUUGAAUUUAACCCAAAAUUGAUUUGUUACGGGCAAAUUUGACUUUUCACUUACUAGAUUAGUGUCUAAGCCUCCUAAUCAAGCGUAACCAAGUAUAAUUUGCUAGAGCACUUAGAGUUUUUGAAGUUAUUUUGAAUUGCUACUGAUUUUGAUUCUAGCUUGUGAACCUCUUCCUCUCCAAACCAUUCAAUGUGAGAAAAGUUGCUAGAAAUGUAAAACUCUACAACUUUUAGUUUGACAAAAACUUAGGUUUCUAUAAAAAAUUUCAUGUUUUGAAUCUAACCUAAAAUUGAGCUUUUAAGGGCAAAUUUGACUUUUCAUUUGCUGGAUUAGUGUCUAAGCCUCCUAAUCAAGCGUAGCCAAGUAUAAUUUGCUAGAGCACUUAGAGUUUUUGAAGUGAUUUUGAAUUGCUACUUAUUUUGAUUCUAGCUUUUG
rnacentral:lncRNA from 1 species